AACGAACGCUGGCGGCAGGCUUAACACAUGCAAGUCGAGCGCCCCGCAAGGGGAGCGGCAGACGGGUGAGUAACGCGUGGGAAUCUACCGAGCCCUAAGGAUAGCUCCGGGAAACUGGAAUUAAUACCUUAUACGCCCUUUUGGGGAAAGAUUUAUCGGGGUUUGAUGAGCCCGCGUUGGAUUAGCUAGUUGGUGGGGUAAAGGCCUACCAAGGCGACGAUCCAUAGCUGGUCUGAGAGGAUGAUCAGCCACAUUGGGACUGAGACACGGCCCAAACUCCUACGGGAGGCAGCAGUGGGGAAUAUUGGACAAUGGGCGC
rnacentral:rRNA from 1 species